GGCCUGGUAGCACAACGGUUUCGUGCAUCUGCUUGCAAUGCACCAAGUGGAAAUAAUUUCAGCAGAGGAUCCCGUUCGACUCGGGGCCAGGCCA